UACGAAGGGGGCUAGCGUUGUUCGGAAUCACUGGGCGUAAAGGGCGCGUAGGCGGCUUUAUAAGUCGGGGGUGAAAGCCUGUGGCUCAACCACAGAAUUGCCUUCGAUACUGUAGAGCUUGAGACCGGAAGAGGUAAGUGGAACUGCGAGUGUAGAGGUGAAAUUCGUAGAUAUUCGCAAGAACACCAGUGGCGAAGGCGGCUUACUGGUCCGGUUCUGACGCUGAUGCGCGAAAGCGUGGGGAGCAAACAGG
rnacentral:rRNA from 1 species